rnacentral:rRNA from 1 species
AUGACGAACAUGGGUAAAGUACAAGUGGGAACCAACAAGACAUUGAUAUGCUUGUGGUUGGUGAUGCUGCUUGUCCUUUCAUCUGAAGAGAUGGGAUCUGAUGGUUGUGAAGGUCAUGAUAGCCAAACCUGGGAUGGCAACAUGUGUGUAAAGCACGGCACCUGCAAUGUGGUCUGCCAGAGAGAGGGUUAUGACAGAGGCCGCUGCUACGUGACUGUAUGCAGGUGCUACAAGAACUGCACUGAUCUACCAAUUUAG